rnacentral:rRNA from 2 species
AGCUUGCUCCCUGAUGUUAGCGGCGGACGGGUGAGUAACACGUGGGUAACCUGCCUGUAAGACUGGGAUAACUCCGGGAAACCGGGGCUAAUACCGGAUGCUUGUUUGAACCGCAUGGUUCAAACAUAAAAGGUGGCUUCGGCUACCACUUACAGAUGGACCCGCGGCGCAUUAGCUAGUUGGUGAGGUAAUGGCUCACCAAGGCAACGAUGCGUAGCCGACCUGAGAGGGUGAUCGGCCACACUGGGACUGAGACACGGCCCAGACUCCUACGGGAGGCAGCAGUAGGGAAUCUUCCGCAAUGGACGAAAGUCUGACGGAGCAACGCCGCGUGAGUGAUGAAGGUUUUCGGAUCGUAAAGCUCUGUUGUUAGGGAAGAACAAGUGCCGUUCGAAUAGGGCGGCACCUUGACGGUACCUAACCAGAAAGCCACGGCUAACUACGUGCCAGCAGCCGCGGUAAUACGUAGGUGGCAAGCGUUGUCCGGAAUUAUUGGGCGUAAAGGGCUCGCAGGCGGUUUCUUAAGUCUGAUGUGAAAGCCCCCGGCUCAACCGGGGAGGGUCAUUGGAAACUGGGGAACUUGAGUGCAGAAGAGGAGAGUGGAAUUCCACGUGUAGCGGUGAAAUGCGUAGAGAUGUGGAGGAACACCAGUGGCGAAGGCGACUCUCUGGUCUGUAACUGACGCUGAGGAGCGAAAGCGUGGGGAGCGAACAGGAUUAGAUACCCUGGUAGUCCACGCCGUAAACGAUGAGUGCUAAGUGUUAGGGGGUUUCCGCCCCUUAAUGCUGCAGCUAACGCAUUAAGCACUCCGCCUGGGGAGUACGGUCGCAAGACUGAAACUCAAAAGAAUUGACGGGGGCCCGCACAAGCGGUGGAGCAUGUGGUGUAAUUCGAAGCAACACGAAAAACCUUACCAGGUCUUGACAUCCUCUGACAAUCCUAGAGAUAGGACGUCCCCUUCGGGGGCAGAGUGACAGGUGGUGCAUGGUUGUCGUCAGCUCGUGUCGUGAGAUGUUGGGUUAAGUCCCGCAACGAGCGCAACCCUUGAUCUUAGUUGCCAGCAUUCAGUUGGGCACUCUAAGGUGACUGCCGGUGACAAACCGGAGGAAGGUGGGGAUGACGUCAAAUCAUCAUGCCCCUUAUGACCUGGGCUACACACGUGCUACAAUGGACAGAACAAAGGGCAGCGAAACCGCGAGGUUAAGCCAAUCCCACAAAUCUGUUCUCAGUUCGGAUCGCAGUCUGCAACUCGACUGCGUGAAGCUGGAAUCGCUAGUAAUCGCGGAUCAGCAUGCCGCGGUGAAUACGUUCCCGGGCCUUGUACACACCGCCCGUCACACCACGAGAGUUUGUAACACCCGAAGUCGGUGAG